rnacentral:tRNA from 1 species
GGCUUAAGGUAGACUGAAAUGCAAAUUCGGUAGAAAGUCUAAAGUGAGACUUAUUAGGCCU